rnacentral:rRNA from 1 species
CCGGAGAGGGAGCCUUAAAAACGGCUACCACAUCUAAGGAAGGCAGCAGGCGCGCAAAUUACCCAAUCCUGAUACAGGGAGGUAGUGACAAGAAAUAACACAGAGAGUGCUUAUCGCAUUUCUCUUUGGAAUGAGCAGAAUUUAAAUCUCUUUUCGACUAUCAAUUGGAGGGCAAGUCUGGUGCCAGCAGCCGCGGUAAUUCCAGCUCCAAUAGCGUAUAUUAAAGUUGUUGCGGUUAAAAAGCUCGUAGUUGGAUUUCUGUCGAGGACGGUCGGUCCACACUUUGUGUGAGUAUCUGAUUCGGCCUUGGCAUCCUCCUGGGGAACGUUUCUGCGCUUGAUUGCGUGGAGCGGAAUUCAGGACUUUUACUUUGAGGAAAUUAGAGUGUUCACGGCAGGCAAACGCCUUGAAUAUAUUAGCAUGGAAUAAUAAUAUAGGACCUUUGUUCUAUUUUGUUGGUUUCUAGAGCGAAGGUAAUGAUUAAUAGGGAUAAUUGGGGGCAUUUGUAUUAACGCGUCAGAGGUGGAAUUCUUGGAUUGCGUUACGACAAACUACUGCGAAAGCAUUUGCCAAGGAUGUUUUCAUUGAUCAAGAACGAAAGUUAGGGGAUCGAAGACGCUUAGAUACCGUCGUAGUCUUAACCAUAAACUAUGCCGACUAGAGAUUGGAGGUCGUUCUUUUUAUGACCCCUUCAGCACCUUAUGAGAAAUCAAAGUCUUUGGGUUCCGGGGGGAGUAUGGUCGCAAGGCUGAAACUUAAAGGAAUUGACGGAAGGGCACCACCAGGAGUGGAGCCUGCGGCUUAAUUUGACUCAACACGG